GCCGGAGUGGCGGAAUGGUAGACGCGCCGGAUUCAAAAUCCGGUGAUCGUGAGGUCGUGCGGGUUCGAGUCCCGCCUCCGGUA
rnacentral:tRNA from 1 species